ACGAACGCUGGCGGCAUGCCUAACACAUGCAAGUCGAACGAACUCUUCGGAGUUAGUGGCGCACGGGUGCGUAACGCGUGGGAAUCUGCCCCUUGGUUCGGAAUAACAGUUAGAAAUGACUGCUAAUACCGGAUGAUGUCUUCGGACCAAAGAUUUAUCGCCAAGGGAUGAGCCCGCGUAGGAUUAGGUAGUUGGUGGGGUAAAGGCCUACCAAGCCGACGAUCCUUAGCUGGUCUGAGAGGAUGAUCAGCCACACUGGGACUGAGACACGGCCCAGACUCCUACGGGAGGCAGCAGUGGGGAAUAUUGGACAAUGGGGGAAACCCUGAUCCAGCAAUGCCGCGUGAGUGAUGAAGGCCUUAGGGUCGUAAAGCUCUUUUAUAUGUCAAGAAAAUGACGGUAGCAUAUGAAUAAGCACCGGCUAACUCCGU
rnacentral:rRNA from 1 species